GGAGGGUUCCCGAGUGGCCAAAGGGAGCAGACUGUAAAUCUGCCGCCUCCGACUUCGAUGGUUCGAAUCCGACCCUCCACCA
rnacentral:tRNA from 1 species